ACGGGGAGGUAGCGGUGCCCUGUACCUGCAACCCGCUGUAGCAGGGUCGAAUUCCCAUCUAAGGCCUUGAUUUUUUGGAGUCUGGCCUGAACAAGUGAUGAGGAAGAUUGGGUCCUGCGCAACAGGAAUUCAUGAACCCCGUCAGGCCCGGAAGGGAGCAGCGGUAAGUGAACCCUCCUGUGUGCCGUAGGGCAGCCUGGUUGGAGUUAACUAUUCAGGUAACGUCCGGAAAACAAGGUCGAGGAUGGGUGCACGG
rnacentral:SRP_RNA from 1 species